UACAGAGGUCUCAAGCGUUGUUCGGAUUCAUUGGGCGUAAAGGGUGCGUCGGCGGCGCGGUAAAUCGGGUGUGAAAUCUCGGGGCUUAACUCCGAAACUGCAUUCGAUACUGCCGUGCUUGAGGACUGGAGAGGAGACUGGAAUUUACGGUGUAGCGGUGAAAUGCGUAGAUAUCGUAAGGAAGACCAGUGGCGAAGGCGGGUCUCUGGACAGUUCCUGACGCUGAGGCACGAAGGUCAGGGGAGCAAACGGG
rnacentral:rRNA from 1 species